rnacentral:rRNA from 1 species
UGGCUCAGAUUGAACGCUGGCGGCAUGCCUUACACAUGCAAGUCGAACGGCAGCACGGGUGCUUGCACCUGGUGGCGAGUGGCGAACGGGUGAGUAAUACAUCGGAACAUGUCCUGUAGUGGGGGAUAGCCCGGCGAAAGCCGGAUUAAUACCGCAUACGAUCUACGGAUGAAAGCGGGGGACCUUCGGGCCUCGCGCUAUAGGGUUGGCCGAUGGCUGAUUAGCUAGUUGGUGGGGUAAAGGCCUACCAAGGCGACGAUCAGUAGCUGGUCUGAGAGGACGACCAGCCACACUGGGACUGAGACACGGCCCAGACUCCUACGGGAGGCAGCAGUGGGGAAUUUUGGACAAUGGGCGAAAGCCUGAUCCAGCAAUGCCGCGUGUGUGAAGAAGGCCUUCGGGUUGUAAAGCACUUUUGUCCGGAAAGAAAACCUUUGGCCUAAUACCUUGGGGGGAUGACGGUACCGGAAGAAUAAGCACCGGCUAACUACGUGCCAGCAGCCGCGGUAAUACGUAGGGUGCAAGCGUUAAUCGGAAUUACUGGGCGUAAAGCGUGCGCAGGCGGUUUGUUAAGACCGAUGUGAAAUCCCCG